AGCCAUGCGAGUCGAGAGGUGCAAGACCUCGGCAUACUGCUCAGUAACACGUGGACAACCUACCCUAUGGAGGGGGAUAACCCCGGGAAACUGGGGAUAAUACCCCAUAGACUAUGGAUGCUGGAAUGCUUUGUAGUUGAAAGGUCCGCCGCCAUAGGAUGGGUCUGCGGCCGAUUAGGUUGUUGUUGGGGUAACGGCCCAACAAGCCUGUAAUCGGUACGGGUUGUGGGAGCAAGAGCCCGGAGAUGGAUUCUGAGACACGAAUCCAGGCCCUACGGGGCGCAGCAGGCGCGAAAACUUUACAAUGCGGGAAACCGUGAUAAGGGAACUCCGAGUGCCCGUAAAAUCGGGCUGUCCAUCUGUUUAAAUAACAGGUGAAGAAAGGGCCGGGCAAGACCGGUGCCAGCCGCCGCGGUAAUACCGGCGGCUCGAGUGGUGGCCACUAUUACUGGGCUUAAAGCGUUCGUAGCUGGUCUGUUAAGUCUCUGGGGAAAUCUACUGGCUUGACCAAUAGGCGUCUCAGGGAUACUGGCAGACUAGGGACCGGGAGAGGUGAGAGGUACUCCAGGGGUAGGAGUGAAAUCCUGUAAUCCUUGGGGGACCACCUGUGGCGAAGGCGUCUCACCAGAACGGCUCCGACAGUGAGGGACGAGAGCUGGGGGAGCAAACCGGAUUAGAUACCCGGGUAGUCCCAGCCGUAAACGAUGCGCGUUAGGUGUAUCGGUGACCACGGGUCACCGAGGUGCCGAAGAGAAAUCGUGAAACGUGCCGCCUGGGAAGUACGGUCGCAAGGCUGAAACUUAAAGGAAUUGGCGGGGGAGCACCACAACAGGUGGAGCCUGCGGUUUAAUUGGAUUCAACGCCGGGAAG
rnacentral:rRNA from 1 species